UACGUAGGUGGCAAGCGUUGUCCGGAAUCACUGGGCGUAAAGCGCGCGCAGGCGGCGAUCUACGUCUGGGGUGAAAGCCCGGAGCUCAACUCCGGGACUGCCUUGGAUACGGGAUCGCUUGAGGACUGGAGAGGCAAGGGGAAUUCCACGUGUAGCGGUGAAAUGCGUAGAUAUGUGGAGGAACACCUGUGGCGAAGGCGCCUUGCUGGCCAAUUUCUGACGCUGAGGCGCGAAAGCGUGGGGAGCAAACAGG
rnacentral:rRNA from 1 species